rnacentral:lncRNA from 1 species
GGAGUUACAGAAGAGAUAGAAAAGAAUUUUCUGCGGACCUUGAGCUGUUUAAGGAAGAAAGAUCCAAAAAUUAUGAUUCAAAUGUCAAAUUUUUCAAUGAUGAGCCCUCAGAAGCCAACAAGGAAUCUGAGACCGGGAAGAGAGAGAAAAAGAAACUGAAGAAGGAAUCAAUGUCAGUACGACAAUACGAGACCAAAUUAUUGCUAGAGCAUGGACCUGAAUUCGUUGAAAAAGAUGAAGAUGAAGCAGACAUUCAAGAGCCCUCCUCUCCAACUUAUAUCGAAGAGCAAAAAGUUUUGAAAGAAAAUUUCAAGAAGAUUUUGAAUGCAUCAGACUCAGAGGAUGAUAGUGAAGGUUGUUCAAGGUGAAAGUAAAACAAGAAGAAGAGAAAGAAAGAGAGGAAGAGGCUUUCAGAAAGUGGUUGAAAGGCCAGAAAGAAGAUAUCGAAGAUAAUGAAACGAAGAAGGAUUUACAGUAUCUUCACGAUUGUUGGACAGAUCCCAACAUUGAUAAAUCUGAAGAAUUUUUGAAAGAUUAUAUUCUGAAUAAGAGAUACUUGGAGAAGGACGACCAGCCAAAUAAAGCGGCACUGGAAGAUCUGUCUGAGGAAGAAGAAGAGCUGAAAAAAGCUGAAGAAUUUGAAUACAAGUAUAACUUCAGAUAUGAAGAGCCUGACAGAGAAUUUUUAAAGAGAUAUCCAAGAGAUAUGAGUCCUCUAUGCGGCGCAAGAAAGAUAAGCAAGAAAAACGCAGGCUCCAGAGAGAAAAAGCGAAAGAAAGGAAGCUCAAGAAGUUCGAAGAAAAGCAGAAAGAAGUGGCCGAACUCAAGAAGAAGAAACGUGAAGAACUUGUUGAGCAAAUAAAAAAACUUAAAGAUCUCACUGGAAAUGACAAACUAGCAUUUGAAGAUGAGUUAAUGGAUGAUGACUUUGAUUCUACUAAGUUUGACCAGAAAAUGGAAGAGGUAUUCAAUAACGAUUUCUACAAUGACGAAGAUACUGAGAAGCCUGUUUUUGAGGAUGAUGAUUUGAUUACAGUAAGACUUCUUUUUAUUGCAUUUUUUUGCAUGUUUUUUUUUUAUGAACUGUCCCAAACCUGUGCCCUCUCGAGCUUAUUUUUGUUUUUAAACAAAUUGGGAUACUAUUAGAUUCAUCUGUUUGACAGCAUCACCUUAUCUGCGACCUCUAGGUGCCGCACAUAUAAUACUCAAUGUUAAAAAUUAGAUUUUUUUACCUCCCUCGCAACAUACCGGUAAUAGCGGUUUGCAACAACAGUUUCCCCUAAUGAAAUUAUGUAUCGCUCAGUUGCCCCUCCUCCCUCCUUUCAAAUCAGCCCUAUGUGAAGAAUCUUUGAAGAAAAGUGAUAGUGUCAAAUCAAAAUCCAUUUUAGAUUUUGAGAAGUUGACGCUGUGCGUCCAUUCUAGCGUUACAAAAUGCAGCCCUAAAUGCCCCUUCGCCCCCUGUAAUGCUAGCUCAGAUCCAUCCUCUAUUCUUAGAGCAUAAUGUAUUUAAUGAACUACCCAAUAAGCAAGCAAACCUUGCUUUGCCUUUAAGGAAAUUUUACUCUGAAAAAUAAGGUAGAAUGACAUCUAUAUUCAAUGGUGAAAGUGCAGGAACGCGAAUUUUUGUUCGUGGUGUCGCGAACUUCCUGUCAUUCUUUAUUUUUCAAAUGUAAAAAUACUCAACGUCAUGUCUUGAAAACUUCGCUAGUUUACUUCUCUGUGAGAUGAGUGUUACUUCAAAAUUUCAAGCAAUAGCCUUGGUUCGUUCAUCUUUGAUAAAUGAAAUGAAAUGGAAGCAGAACGUUGAAACAUUGCAAAAAAGAUACGUGUCCCUGCAAUUUCAUCAUCGUAUUGUUAGCCAUUAGUAAAUCUGAUCUUGAUUUAUGCAAAUAACUGCUUUGGUUUUCUUCCCAAUCAUUAUUUCAAUGACUUCAACAUCUUUCCAGGUUACUAUGAGAAUCAAGAAGCUGAUCCUGAGGAUCCAAAUUUUGUGGUGAGCAUUCAUUUUGACUACUAAUUAAGCAGAGUUUCCGGCAGUCUGGAAAACUUGGAAUAUCAGGGAAUUGAGGGUGACCUGGAAAAUUCAGGGAAUUCAUACAAAAUGUCAGGUAUUAUUGUGAGCAGUGGGUCUACGCAGCAACUCCAGCUGGUGUCAUUCAAGAGAGCACAAAUAAUCUCCAAAUACUUUUUUCUGUAAUUUGAACCUCUAGAAGUGGAACUUUUGCAAAGUUAAGCAGCAGUCAACGUAAUUAAAAGGAAAAAAAUAUGUAGAAUGUUCGAAGGUCAGGAACAUUUAAAAUUUUAGAGUUAGGAAAUAAUGAAGAAAGUAAAAGUAUCAAGAAAUAAAGAAAUCAUGGACACCCCGUUUAGGCAUUGAAAAGAAAUUCUUCAAGUUCUUCUUUGAAUUUUACCUCUGUCCUUGGGUUAAUUUUUUCAAUUCUGCGUUUGACGGUGUAACCUAAAAUUUUAAAGUUUUGCAAGGGUUUCUCUGAAGAUCCUAACUCUGGCCUAAAAAUUGUAUCUAUAUUUGUAACAAAAAUUUCCAAUGUUAGAGGACAAAAAUCAUUUCAGAAAUAGAACCAUUGCAUUUUUAGAGUUAUUCAUUGUAAUUCUUUCCGGGUGUAUGGAGAAGUAUUGCUUCACAAGCCUCUUUUAUCUGCCCAAGUGUGGCUAAUUUCGCUUGUUUAUUUUGAAAAAGCCUUGGAAACAUGCUAAAACUGCUGAAAAAUUAAAGUAGUGCAUAAGUGAAAGAGAUUUUAUCAACUCUCAUGCAAGGUACCAUUUUCAUUGCUUGUUUUAUGAAACAAUACAUGUUCUCUCAACAUUUCUCUUGAAUCUAAUAUGUGGUUCCAAAUACUGAGACAUAGAUCCCGAUACUAUGAUAAACACUUUUUCAUGUCCCAUCUGUCAGUGUAUUACAAAGUUGUAAAAAAUACAUAGUUUUGUUCUAAUUUCUACGUUUUUUGAAAAUAUGAUGCAUAAAUAAUCAGACAGAUGGUCUUCGGUUUUUACCCAACCUAAAA